AAUUAUUUCUUCUUGAUUUUUGUUUUUAUGCAUAUCAAGAUUUCUUCUGUCUGACUCCAUACAAAUGAAUUGUUUUUAGCUCGUAAGCAUUGAAAAGACACCUCAUUCUUGCCAUGUCUCCCACUUACAGAAGUGCUUUCUGGGUAUCCUUUUUGCCUUUGGCAUCUUGGUGACACUAUGCGAUGCAUUCUGUUUUUAUCAACGAAAUGACCCAUUGAAAUCUACCGAAGGUUGUAGUCAAGAUGAAAAGGUGCAUAACUUUGGUACCACUUGGACUGCAAAUUGCAACAGAUGUCACUGCAGCCGGAAUGGAAUACGCUGUUGCUCCACCUAUCAUUCGCCUGCGGGUUAUGACAGAGAAAAAUGUGAAAGCAUUUUCAACAAGGACACCUGCAGCUACAGCGUGGUGGAGAAGGCCGACCCCUCGAAAGCCUGCGAGGUCCGUGGUUGGGUGGGUUAAUUACGAAUCCACUUAGAAUUUCUCUGCAUAGUGCCUCUCCUUCCCCUUCUACCAAUGAUCAACAAUGGAAUGAGUCUGUUCUUCAGAGAUUCAUGAUGGUCUUUGAAGCAUCACUACUAACAGCUGGUUUUUCUUCUCCUUGUUGAGUAGCAGUUCAGUGUGUGAGAACGUGCUGUACUUGAUUCUAUAUUGUUUCUGUUAUUCCCUGCAUUAGCAUAACUGAGCUUUGAUCACCAGAGUAAAAUAAACUCACAUGAAGCACCA
rnacentral:lncRNA from 1 species